rnacentral:rRNA from 1 species
CCUACGGGAGACUGCAGUGGGGAAUAUUGCACAAUGGGGGAAACCCUGAUCCAGCGACGCCGCGUGAGCGAUGAAGUAUUUCGGUAUGUAAAGCUCUAUCAGCAGGGGAGAAAAUGACGGUACCUGACUAAGAAUCCCCGGCUAACUACGUGCCAGCAGCCGCGGUAAUACGUGGGGGGCAAGCGUGAUCCGGAUUUACUGGGUGUAAAGGGGGCGUAGAGGGUCUUGCAAGCCCGAUGUGAAAGUCCGGGGCGCAACCCCGGGACUGCAUUUGAAACUGUCAGGCUAGAGUGUCGGAGAGGCAGGCGGAAUUCCUGGUGUAGCGGUGAAAUGCGUAGAUAUUAGGAGGAACACCAGUGGCGAAGGCGGCAUGCUGGACGAUGACUGACGUUGAGGCUCGAAAGCGUGGGGAGCAAACAGGAUUAGAUACCCCAGUAGUC